GAGUUUGAUCAUGGCUCAGGACGAACGCUGGCGGCGUGCUUAACACAUGCAAGUCGAACGGAAAGGCUUCUAGCUUGCUAGGGGUACUCGAGUGGCGAACGGGUGAGUAACACGUGGGUGAUCUGCCCUCAACUUUGGGAUAAGCCUGGGAAACUGGGUCUAAUACCGGAUAGGAACAAUCUUUAGUGUGGUUGUUGGAAAGCUUUUGCGGUUGGGGAUGAGCUCGCGGCCUAUCAGCUUGUUGGUGGGGUAAUGGCCUACCAAGGCGUCGACGGGUAGCCGGCCUGAGAGGGUGUACGGCCACAUUGGGACUGAGAUACGGCCCAGACUCCUACGGGAGGCAGCAGUGGGGAAUAUUGCACAAUGGGCGGAAGCCUGAUGCAGCGACGCCGCGUGGGGGAUGAAGGCCUUCGGGUUGUAAACUCCUUUCGACAGGGACGAAGCUUUUGUGACGGUACCUGUAUAAGAAGCACCGGCUAACUACGUGCCAGCAGCCGCGGUAC
rnacentral:rRNA from 1 species